rnacentral:rRNA from 1 species
UAUACAUGCAAGUCGAGCGAAUGGAUUGGAGAGCUUGCUCUNANGAAGUUAGCGGCGGACGGNGUGAGUAACACGUGGGUAACCUGCCCAUAAGACUGGGAUAACUCCGGGAAACCGGGGCUAAUACCGGAUAAUAUUUUGAACUGCAUGGUUCGAAAUUGAAAGGCGGCUUCGGCUGUCACUUAUGGAUGGACCCGCGUCGCAUUAGCUAGUUGGUGAGGUAACGGCUCACCAAGGCAACGAUGCGUAGCCGACCUGAGAGGGUGAUCGGCCACACUGGGACUGAGACACGGCCCAGACUCCUACGGGAGGCAGCAGUAGGGAAUCUUCCGCAAUGGACGAAAGUCUGACGGAGCAACGCCGCGUGAGUGAUGAAGGCUUUCGGGUCGUAAAACUCUGUUGUUAGGGAAGAACAAGUGCUANUUGAAUAAGCUGGCACCUUG